AGAGUUUGAUCCUGGCUCAGGACGAACGCUGGCGGCGUGCCUAAUACAUGCAAGUCGAGCGCGGGAAGCAAGCUGAUCCUCUUCGGAGGUGACGCUUGUGGAACGAGCGGCGGACGGGUGAGUAACACGUGGGCAACCUGCCUGUAAGACUGGGAUAACCCCGGGAAACCGGGGCUAAUACCGGAUAAUACUUUUCAUCACCUGAUGGAAAGUUGAAAGGUGGCUUCUUGCUACCACUUACAGAUGGGCCCGCGGCGCAUUAGCUAGUUGGUGAGGUAACGGCUCACCAAGGCAACGAUGCGUAGCCGACCUGAGAGGGUGAUCGGCCACACUGGGACUGAGACACGGCCCAGACUCCUACGGGAGGCAGCAGUAGGGAAUCUUCCGCAAUGGACGAAAGUCUGACGGAGCAACGCCGCGUGAGUGAUGAAGGUUUUCGGAUCGUAAAGCUCUGUUGUUAGGGAAGAACAAGUGCCGUUCGAAUAGGGCGGCACCUUGACGGUACCUAACCAGAAAGCCCCGGCUAACUACGUGCCAGCAGCCGCGGUAAUACGUAGGGGGCAAGCGUUGUCCGGGAAUUAUUGGGCGUAAAGCGCGCGCAGGCGGUCCUUUAAGUCUGAUGUGAAAGCCCACGGCUUAACCGUGGAGGGUCAUUGGAAACUGGAGGACUUGAGUACAGAAGAGGAGAGUGGAAUUCCACGUGUAGCGGUGAAAUGCGUAGAGAUGUGGAGGAACACCAGUGGCGAAGGCGACUCUCUGGUCUGUAACUGACGCUGAGGCGCGAAAGCGUGGGGAGCGAACAGGAUUAGAUACCCUGGUAGUCCACGCCGUAAACGAUGAGUGCUAGGUGUUAGGGGGUUUCCGCCCCUUAGUGCUGAAGUUAACGCAUUAAGCACUCCGCCUGGGGAGUACGGCCGCAAGGCUGAAACUCAAAAGAAUUGACGGGGGCCCGCACAAGCGGUGGAGCAUGUGGUUUAAUUCGACGCAACGCGAAGAACCUUACCAGGUCUUGACAUCCUCUGCAAUCGGUAGAGAUACCGAGUUCCCUUCGGGGACAGAGUGACAGGUGGUGCAUGGUUGUCGUCAGCUCGUGUCGUGAGAUGUUGGGUUAAGUCCCGCAACGAGCGCAACCCUUGAUCUUAGUUGCCAGCAUUUAGUUGGGCACUCUAAGGUGACUGCCGGUGACAAACCGGAGGAAGGUGGGGAUGACGUCAAAUCAUCAUGCCCCUUAUGACCUGGGCUACACACGUGCUACAAUGGAUGGAACAAAGGGAAGCAAAACCGCGAGGUCAAGCAAAUCCCAUAAAACCAUUCUCAGUUCGGAUUGCAGGCUGCAACUCGCCUGCAUGAAGCCGGAAUCGCUAGUAAUCGCGGAUCAGCAUGCCGCGGUGAAUACGUUCCCGGGCCUUGUACACACCGCCCGUCACACCACGAGAGUUGGUAACACCCGAAGUCGGUGAGGUAACCUUUUGGAGCCAGCCGCCGAAGGUGGGACCAAUGAUUGGGGUGAAGUCGUAACAAGGUAGCCGU
rnacentral:rRNA from 1 species